rnacentral:rRNA from 1 species
UUCCGUAGUGAACCUGCGG